rnacentral:tRNA from 1 species
GGAGAGGUGUCCGAGUGGUUUAAGGUGCCGCUCUCGAAAAGCGGUAAGGUUAGUAGCCUUCGUGGGUUCGAAUCCCACCCUCUCCGCCG